GCGUGGUUUCUUAAGAACGGAGCAACAGCAUAUUAUACUGAUAAAUUGCGCGGUUCAACAACAUAUAUUGAUAUAUUGCGUGUUUUCUUAAGAACGGAGCAACAACAUACUGUAUUAUACAGGUAAAUCGCGUGGUUUCUUUAAGAACGGAGCAACAAUAUAUAUUACUGAUAUUGUUUGCGUGGUUUCUUAUGAACGGAGCAACAAUAUUACUGAUAUUGAUAUAUUGCGUGGUUUUUUAAGAACGGAGAAACAACAUAUUAUGGCAGCGUUUACACUGUACCGUUUUCGUA